GUGCCUGUGGCUCAGUGGGUAGGGUGUCGGCCUCAUAUACUGAGGGUGGCGGGUUCAAACCCAGCCCUGGCCCA
rnacentral:tRNA from 1 species